UACGGGGGGAGCAAGCGUUGUUCGGAUUUACUGGCGUAAAGGGCGCGUAGGCGGCCAGCACAAGUCAGUUGUGAAAUCUCCGAGCUUAACUCGGAAAGGUCAACUGAUACUGUGCGGCUAGAGUGCAGAAGGGGCAACUGGAAUUCUUGGUGUAGCGGUGAAAUGCGUAGAUAUCAAGAGGAACACCUGCGGCGAAGGCGGGUUGCUGGCUGACACUGACGCUGAAGCGCGAAAGCCAGGGGAGCGAACGGG
rnacentral:rRNA from 1 species